rnacentral:rRNA from 1 species
UACGGAGGGUGCAAGCGUUAUCCGGAUUUACUGGGUGUAAAGGGUUCGUAGGCGGUGUGGCAAGUCGGGAGUGAAAUCUCUGGGCUCAACCCAGAGUCUGCUUCCGAAACUGCUGUGCUUGAGUGUGGGAGAGGCGCGUGGAAUUGCAGGUGUAGCGGUGAAAUGCGUAGAUAUCUGGAGGAACACCGGUGGCGAAGGCGGCAUCCUGGACCGACACUGACACUGAGGAGCGAAAGCCAGGGGAGCAAACGGG